CCUUCUUUAGCUCAGUUGGAAGAGCAUCAGACUGUAAUCGGUUAUAAGAUCCACAUCUGGGGGUCGCCUGUUCGAACCAGGCAAGAAGGA